CACACCGCCCGUCACACCAUGGGAGUUGGCUUUACCUGAAGCCGGUGCGCUAACCCGCAAGGGAGGCAGCCGACCACGGUGGGAUCAGCGACUGGGGUG
rnacentral:rRNA from 1 species